AGUUGAGUCGCCAUAUGAUCCCAGGAAGAUAGGACGCUAAGGCCGGCAACCACGGGGAUCAUACCUAAGAAAUUACCUUCAGUCACAGAAGAGACUGGACAUUUUCAGUGUUAGAACUCUUGAAACUCUUGGGAAUUUUGCAUUAUGAAGUGGCCACAAGCCUUUGUGACAAGGAGUAAGAUUGUAAUUUGAAUCUGAAAUGCCUCUGGAGGCUCAUGUUUUGAAUUCUGUCUAGUUUACGGCGGUAUUUUUAAGACUGUGGUACUUUUAGGAAGUGGACCCCUGCUAACAGAAAUAGGCUAGUAGGGGCAAGCCACUCCUACUUCCAGCCAUGGUCUUCACUUCUGGCCCACCAAGAUGCAAGGAGCCUCUGUUACAUGUUCCACUAUGUCCCCUUGUUAUGGUAGACUGAAAUUUUUAUGAAACCAUGAGGCAAAUAAAUCUGUUCCCCUUAUAGUUGCUUCAGUCAAAUAUUUUGUCACACUGAUGUAAAAAUAACUAAUAUGGAGCCUAACAGCCACCAAUCCUAACUCCAGAACUCUGAGAGAGCUUCCCAAGUUCAUUUAUUUCUGAGUGUUCUUUCCUCACCUUGAAAGUGGCAAAAAUAACAGUCCUUUGUGUGUCUGAGUUAUAAUGAAGAUUAAGCAAAUUAAUGAUGCCAAGUGUUCAGAUCAGCACCUUGGCCUUCGUGAUCACAGCACAUUGAUGAUGACAAUGAUGAAAAUGAUAAGCAUGAUGAUAAUGAAGAUGACGCCAACAAUGAUACUGACAAGCUCUACCCAAUGACAUAGAUAAUGACAACAAUGAUGAUAGUGACCCAAUGCAAUAAUAAGCUCUACCCAAUGAUCAUGGUCAUGAUUAUAUGAUGAAAACAAUGACAAGCUCUACCCAAUGGUAAUAAUGAAAAUGAAAAUGUCAUUAACAGGUUCUACCCAAUGAUAAUGAUGAUGAUGAUGAUGACAAUAACAUUAAUAAUGUCAAGCUUUACCCAGUGAUGAUGAUGGUGAUGAGGGAAGAGGAGGAGAAGAAAGACCAUGGUGAUCACUGCACAAACUGAGUGCUUUACUCAAACCUUUUAGCUUCUCAUUCAAAGUUUUCUCAUCAAUCAUAGAAAAGAGCUGUGAGGGCACUUUGAUGAAAGGAAACUAUCUGUUCUUGGCUUGUUGCCUUUUUAAUAGGCUGAAAAUGUUAAGGGCAAUAAUUCUGAGGCCUUGGACAGAUUCCAUCCUGGGUCAGUCACUUGACUUCAUUGCCAAUAAAUUGUUCAAAAGGAGCAAAACAAA